rnacentral:rRNA from 1 species
AUUGAACGCUGGCGGCGUGCUUAACACAUGCAAGUCGAACGGUGAAGGAGAGCUUGCUCUCCGGAUCAGUGGCGAACGGGUGAGUAACACGUGGGCAACCUGCCCCAGACUUCGGGAUAACGCUUCGAAAGAGGUGCUGAUACCGGAUACGAACUCCUUGGGCAUCCUUGGAGUUGGAAAGUUUUUCGGUCUGGGAUGGGCCCGCGGCCUACCAGCUUGUUGGUGAGGUAACGGCUCACCAAGGCGACGACGGGUAGCCGGCCUGAGAGGGCGACCGGCCACACUGGGACUGGGCCACGGCCCAGACGCCUACGGGAGGCAGCAGUGGGGAAUAUUGCGCAAUGGGCGAAAGCCUGACGCAGCAACGCCGCGUGAGGGAUGACGGCCUUCGGGUUGUAAACCUCUUUCAGCAGGGAAGAAGCGAAAGUGACGGUACCUGCAGAAGAAGCACCGGCUAACUACGUGCCAGCCGCCGCAGUAAAAC